rnacentral:rRNA from 1 species
UACGGAGGAUGCGAGCGUUAUCCGGAUUUAUUGGGUUUAAAGGGUGCGCAGGCGGCCUGUUAAGUCAGCGGUAAAAGCCCGGGGCUCAACCCCGGCGAGCCGUUGAAACUGGCGGGCUGGAGUUGGAGAGAAGUACGCGGAAUGCGCGGUGUAGCGGUGAAAUGCUUAGAUAUCGCGCAGAACCCCGAUUGCGAAGGCAGCCUGCUGGACUGUAACUGACGCUGAUGCUCGAAAGUGUGGGUAUCAAACAGG